AUUGAACGCUGGCGGUAUGCUUAACACAUGCAAGUCGAACGGUAGCAGGCCUUCGGGCGCUGACGAGUGGCGGACGGGUGAGUAACGCGUAGGAAUCUGCCUUUUAGUGGGGGACAACUUAGGGAAACUUAAGCUAAUACCGCAUACGCCCUACGGGGGAAAGCGGGGGACCUUCGGGCCUCGCGCUAAAAGAUGAGCCUGCGUUGGAUUAGCUAGUUGGCGGGGUAAAGGCCCACCAAGGCGACGAUCCAUAGCUGGUCUGAGAGGACGACCAGCCACACUGGGACUGAGACACGGCCCAGACUCCUACGGGAGGCAGCAGUGGGGAAUAUUGGACAAUGGGCGGAAGCCUGAUCCAGCAAUACCGCGUGUGUGAAGAAGGCCUGAGGGUUGUAAAGCACUUUCAAUAGGAAGGAAUACCUAUCCAUUAAUACUGGGUAGACUGACAUUACCUAUACAAGAAGCACCGGCUAACUCCGUGCCAGCCGCCGCAGUAA
rnacentral:rRNA from 1 species